UGGGGGCAGAGGGGAACCAGCCUCAACAUGGACCCGCAGCUCAAAAGCUCAGCACACACAUAAGAACCGAAAUAGCAUUUUUGGAAGUCCUGGGCUUUAAGCACCGCGGUGCGCUGGCGUCCGACUCAUUGGUUUUGAAGAGUUGGAGUUGGUGAGGCGACGCUGUAGCCCUGCGCAUGCCAGAGGUGUUGGAACAUGAUGUCAUGCAGUGCAGGCUGAGAAAUGUGCAACUGAAGACGUAUUUGGAUGAGAAGAACCCAGCCUUGGGAGUCCUAAAUCCUACAGGAAGCUCCAUUGAGAGAGAAUUGGCAGAAGGGGGAAGCAGAGAAUGAGAAUUAACUAAGUAUUUUAGAAAAAAUUGUGGAAUGACUACCAGCAAGAGUUGGUGACCACCUGCAAUUUUGUUGUGAAAACCCCUGAUCCAAUGCCACAUGAAAAUGAAAACCAGUCCUGUUGGUAUGCGGUGUUGGGCAACGGAGUAAUAAUGUACUUUAAGAGUUAUGGAGAAGGAUGGCUGUAGAAUGUGGCAAAUGGAAUUCGACACAGGAUACUGAGAUAAAUUCUUGGAAAACUUGGAGCGAAGCCAAUUCACUCUCUGAGUAGUCUGACACUGCCUGCACCUUCCAUUUCAAGGGAAAUCAAACAAUAAUAAACAACAAUCAAAAAUAAUUGCAUCUACAUUCAGAGCAUUAACUGAAUACAAGGAUUAAACAUAUCGGAGUGUGACAAUUUUGAAGAUGGGACCAUCCAUACCCAUGGAAUGUUAAGAAUGCUCCACAUUGUCUGUUAGCCUAGGGGCUGUGUACUAGAGAAAGGACACUGGGAAGUGGAAACAGCCAGGUCAGCAUUAGGGACUGCUGUAUUAACACUGAAGGCUUAGCAUUUCAUUUUGGUAAACAGAAAAAUUUCUUUCCCAAGUGUGAAACCACUGCUUGUCACAUCUCAGCCACUUCCCAGCAGUUUCGUCAUGUCAGUGGACCAGAUAAUUCACGCAUUUGGGGAGGAUCCCUAAAAUGAAGAUCUGAAAGAGAGCACUGCCAAUGCCUAAAAUGAACAGCUCAGGCUUUGGAUCCAGCCAGAAGGAUCCAAUUCUGCUGUAAUUGAAGUGAAUAGGGUUUUGCUGUUGAUCUAAAAAACAAUAGUAAUAGACCCAAAGGGCAGAUUUGUUUGCAGAUUCAGUAUUGGUCUAGCUUCCCCAGCCUCGUGCUCAAAAAUGGCAUCUGCAAAGCAGCCAGGGGGAUCAGGACUAGAAGUCUGCUCAGCACUGCUGGCUGAAAUGGGAA